UACGGCUCAGUAACACGUAGCUAAUCUACCCUUAGGUUAAGGAUACCCUCGGGAAACUGAGGUUAAUACUUGAUUGGAGAUGGAUACUGGAAUGUUUUAUCUCUCAAACUUCGGGCCUAAGGAGGAGGCUGCGGCGGAUUAGGUUGUUGUUGGUGUAAAAGACUAACAAGCCGACGAUCCGUAAGGGCCUUUAGUGAGGAAGCCCUGAGAAGGAUCCUGAGACAUAGAUCCUAGCUCUACGGAAUGCAGCAGGUUGGAAUUUUCUGCAAUGCGCGCAAGCGUGACAGAGCGAGCCAGAGUGUUUCUCAUUGAGAAACUUUUGUGAACUGUAAAUAGGUUCAUGAAUAAGGACUGGGCAAGACUAGUGCCAGCCGCCGCGGUAAUACUAGCGGUCCAAGUCGCAACCAUUAUUAUUGGGUCUAAAACAUUCGUAGCUUGCUUGAACAGUCUCUUGUGAAAUCCGGCAUCUCAAGUGUCGGGCGGGCAGGAGAUACUAUCAAGCUAGAGACCGGAAGACGUGAGGAGUACGCCAGAGGUAGUGGUAAAAUAUGUUAAUCUUUGGUGGACUAACGAGAGCGAAGGCACCUCGCGAGUACGGAUCUGACAGUGAGGAAUGAAGGCUAGGGGCGCAAAACGGAUUAGAUACCCGUGUAGUCCUAGCAGUAAACACUGCACACUAAACAUCGGGACCUCUUCGGGAGGUUUCGGUGCUGUAGGGAAGCCGAAGAGUGUGCUACCUGGGAAGUAUAGUCGCAAGGCCGAAACUUAAAGGAAUUGGCGGA
rnacentral:rRNA from 1 species